AUCACAGGCUGACCCGCUUCCUCUCCAGCCCUUCCUUUGGAAGCAUCACCACUGAUUUAGAAGGGGUGAAAUGAAAUCAUCUACAGACACCAAAUGAGAUCAAGGACCAUUGUGCUCUCAGACUGGAAGAUGUAACCUUUUGUGAAACACUUAAAAUCGAAACACUCUGGACACAUAAAAGAAACAGAUUUUUCACCUUCCUAGAAAGGAGAGCAGAAGUGAUCGAUCACUGUUGCCAGGAACACUUUGCCUUUGUCAGCAGAGCCUCUGGAGGAACCCAGGUGGAGGACAAAGAAGCCUCAAGAGCUUGUAACAAAGAUGAUGAUGUGGGAAACCAUGUCCCCCUGUUCUCCCAGGUGCCAUCAAGAGCAUUGCCAGACCUACCACAUCAGCAGUCCUGCAGACAGUGAGGGGUGAUGUGGCUGUCACUCCUUCACCAGCUCAAGCAUUCUCAGAGCUCUGGCUUUGCACCCUGUACUACUCUGUACCUGUGUUUGGGGACACGGACAUCUCACCAACACAGAAUCCUUAUUGAAAAGCAGCACAGUAAUGGUAUUUAGAACAUUAUACAAAGGAAUACACAUCAAAAUACCUGGAAUGCUGGUUCAUCAAAGACUUGAAAUUCACAGU